rnacentral:rRNA from 1 species
UACGUAGGGGGCAAGCGUUGUCCGGAAUCAUUGGGCGUAAAGCGCGCGUAGGCGGCCCGGUAAGUCCGUUGUGAAAGUCAAAGGCUCAACCUUUGAACGCCGAUGGAUACUGCCGGGCUAGAGUCCGGAAGAGGCGAGUGGAAUUCCUGGUGUAGCGGUGGAAUGCGCAGAUAUCAGGAGGAACACCAAUAGCGAAGGCAGCUCGCUGGGACGGUACUGAGCUGAGGCGCGAAAGCGUGGGGAGCGAACAGG